rnacentral:rRNA from 1 species
UACGGUAGGGUGCAAGCGUUGUCCGGAAUUAUUGGGCGUAAAGAGCUCGUAGGUGGUCUGUCGCGUCGGCUGUGAAAACCCGGGGCUCAACCCCGGGCCUGCAGUCGAUACGGGCAGACUAGAGUGCGGUAGGGGAGACUGGAAUUCCUGGUGUAGCGGUGAAAUGCGCAGAUAUCAGGAGGAACAGCCGGUGGCGAAGGCGGGUCUCUGGGCCGUAACUGACGCUGAGGAGCGAAAGCGUGGGGAGCGAACAGG